rnacentral:rRNA from 1 species
AGAGUUUGAUCCUGGCUCAGGAUGAACGCUGGCGGCGUGCUUAAUACAUGCAAGUCGAACGGUACAGCAAUGUACAGUGGCGAUCGGGUGCGUAACACGUAGCUGACCUACCCCUCGGCGGGGAAUAACAGUUCGAAAGGACUGCUAAUACCGCAUACAUUUCAGAUAAUUAGAACGUCUGAAAGAAACUUACGGGGUCG